GAGUUUGAUCAUGGCUCAGCCUGAACGCUGGCGGCGUGGCUAAGACAUGCAAGUCGCACGGACCCGCAAGGGUUAGUGGCGAACGGGUGAGUAAUGAAUCGCUAAUGUACCCCGGACUCUGGGAUAGCCGGCCGAAAGGUCGGGUAAUACCAGAUGAUAUACCUUUAUCGCAUGAUAGAGGUCUCAAAGGUCCGCCGGUCUGGGAGCAGGCGAUUUCGUAUCAGCUAGUUGGUGGGGUAAUGGCCCACCAAGGCGACGACGCGUAGCCGGACUGAGAGGUUGGCCGGCCACAUUGGGACUGAGACACUGCCCAGACUCCUACGGGGGGCUGCAGUAACGAAUCUUCCGCAAUGUACGAAAGUAUGACGGAGCGACGCCGCGUGUAGGACGAAGCCCUUCGGGUGUAAACUACUGUCAGGGUUAGAAGUUCUGAUCAACCCAGAGGAAGGCACGGCUAACUCUGUGCCAGCCGCCGCAGUAAG
rnacentral:rRNA from 1 species